GGACUACCCGGGUAUCUAAUCCUGUUCGCUCCCCACGCUUUCGCUCCUCAGCGUCAGUAUCGGCCCAGAGACCCGCCUUCGCCACCGGUGUUCCUCCUGAUAUCUGCGCAUUUCACCGCUACACCAGGAAUUCCAGUCUCCCCUACCGAACUCUAGUCUGCCCGUAUCGAAUGCAGGCUCGGGGUUGAGCCCCGAGUUUUCACAUCCGACGCGACAGACCGCCUACGAGCUCUUUACGCCCAAUAAUUCCGGACAACGCUCGCACCCUACGUAUUACCGCGGCGGCUGGCAC
rnacentral:rRNA from 1 species